rnacentral:rRNA from 1 species
UACGGGGGGAGCAAGCGUUGUUCGGAUUUACUGGGCGUAAAGGGCGCGUAGGCGGCCUCCGCAAGUCAGUUGUGAAAUCUCCGAGCUUAACUCGGAAAGGUCAACUGAUACUGCGGGGCUAGAGUGCGGAAGGGGCAACUGGAAUUCUUGGUGUAGCGGUGAAAUGCGUAGAUAUCAAGAGGAACACCUGCGGCGAAGGCGGGUUGCUGGGCCGACACUGACGCUGAGGAGCGAAAGCGUGGGGAGCGAACAGG